rnacentral:lncRNA from 1 species
GCCAGCUAUCUGAAAAAGCCUAAAAGACCUUUCUGAGCUCCCCAUGUGGUUUGGUUGAUCACUGGUUAAUUUCAUAAUUAUUUCUCUUGCAGAUGGGUGAAAAUCAUCUGUCUUUGUAUUUAUCUAUCAGAAGAAAGAGCCAGGCUUUCAAAGACAACUCAGACAUAUCAGUAUCAGGCUGUGGAGAUGGUAUAAGUGCAGCUACCCCUGGCUUCAAGGAAACAUAACACCCUUUUCAGAGGCAAAAUUUUUCUUUGUAACACUCACACAAGACUCUUGGUUUUCAUUAGCAGUCACUCAUCCUGUUGCAAAAGAGAGAUUCCUUGCACCUUGCUUUUUCUCUCAGAGGAGAAGUUGUGUCCAACAAGCAUUAGAAGAGGACUGAAGCCAUUAUGAAUUUGAUUGGGAAGGGAAUACAGAGAAUUUUUCUAAAUAUUCCUUUUCUUCUGCAGUCCAGUAAGAC